rnacentral:tRNA from 1 species
AAGGAUUUAAGUUAAGAAUCAAACUCGUAGCCUUCAAAGCUCCAAAUAAAGAAAAAUCUUUAAGCCUUA